rnacentral:rRNA from 1 species
AUGCAUCGUGUCGGGAGUGCCGGAAACACGGCCGGUUCAAGUCGACCGAGAAAGGAGAAGCGCUUCACAUAUGUGCUCAAUGAUGCUGAUAAUAAAAAGCAUUGUGCUGGAAUCAACUGCUUGUCGUACCUGAAUGCUUCUGCUUCUGGUACAAGUGAGUAUCUUUUUACUGGGAGUCGCGAUGGUACCUUGAAGAGAUGGGAAUACCAAAAUGGGGAUGCAAACUUUUCAGCAACCUUUGAGUCACAUGUUGAUUGGGUUAACGAUGCCAUUAUUGUUGGCCAAAAUCUUGUUUCCUGUUCCUCAGACACCACAUUAAAGGUGUGGAAUUGCUUAGCAGAUGGUGCUUGUACCAAGACUCUCCGCCAGCAUUCUGAUUAUGUGAUAUGUCUUGCUGCGGCUGAAAAGAAUAGCAAUAUUGUAGCCUCUGGUGGCCUUGGUGGUGAGGUCUUCAUAUGGGAUCUUGAUGCUGCUAUUGCACCUAUAGCCAAAUCUGUAGAUGCAAAAGAGGAUGAGGUUCCUAACGGAAACUCCGGACCUGCUUUGUCAACCUUGUGCAAUGUAAAUUCUAGUGGCAACAUUGUUUCUACCAACGGAAAAUCACAUGGGUACAGUCCAAUUGCUGCCAAAGGUCAUAAGGAUUCAGUUUAUGCAUUGGAUAUGAAUGAUACAGGGACAUUGCUUGUCUCUGGUGGUACUGAAAAGGUUGUUCGUGUUUGGGAUCCCAGGACAGGUUCUAAGAACAUGAAAUUGAGAGGGCACACUGACAAUAUCAGGGCUUUGCUUAUUGAUUCCACUGGAAGGUAUUGUCUAUCAGGCUCGUCUGACUCGAUGAUAAGACUAUGGGAUCUAGGACAGCAACGCUGUGUGCAUUCUUAUGCCGUUCACACUGAUUCGGUUUGGGCGCUCGCAAGCACCCCUUCAUUUGGUCAUGUUUAUAGUGGUGGAAGAGAUCAGUCCGUGUACCUGACAGACCUCUCCACACGAGAGAGUGUCUUACUAUGCACAAAUGAACACCCAAUCCUACAGUUGUCCUUGCAAGAUGAUACAAUAUGGGUUGCAACAACUGAUUCUUCUGUUUAUGGAUGGCCAGCUGAAGGGCAAACCCCACAGAAGGUUUUUCAAAAGGGUGGCUCAUUCUUAGCUGGGAAUUUGUCAUUCUCAAGAGCAAGAGCUUCUUUAGAAGGAUCAGCACCUGUGCCUGUAUACAAAGAGCCAUCUUUCACUAUUCCUGGAGUUCCAGCUAUAGUUCAACAUGAGAUCAUGAAUAAUAGAAGGCAUGUCCUGACAAAGGAUACUGUUGGUUCUGUCAAAUUAUGGGAGAUUACUCGAGGAGCUGUUAUCGAAGAUUUUGGCAAGGUUUCGUUUGAUGAUAAGAAAAAGGAGUUAUUUGAGAUGGUUAGUAUACCUGCAUGGUUCACCAUGGAUGCUCGAUUGGGGUGCCUGUCUGUUCACCUGGAUACUCCACAAUGCUUUUCUGCAGAAAUAUAUGCGGUUGAUUUGAAUGUUACUGGAGCACAGGAAGAUCUUAAGAUUAAUUUGGCUCAUGAGACUCUUCGUGGUUUGUUAGUUCAUUGGAGUAAACGAAGGCCGAAACUAGGCCAACACAGCUUGUCCAAUGGUGAUUCUUCAAUAGGGAAAGAUGUAUCAUUGAAAAACUUACCGCAUCCAAGAUCCGACGUCGACGAUGGAAGCGAAAACCAUGCAAAUAAUGUGCUUCCCUCGUUUGAGUUCUCCACGGUUUCGCCUCCAUCAAUUAUCACGGAAAGUUCUAGUGGAGGGCCUUGGAGAAAGAGAAUUACCGAUUUGGAUGGAACCGAGGAUGAUUUGCCAUGGUGGUGUGUGGACUGUGCUGAGAACGGCCGAUUUCCAAAAGAGAACACAAAGUGUGGCUUUUAUUUGCAUCCGGCCGAAGGCUCACCUGCACCAAACAUAACGCAAGGGAAACUCAGCGCUCCACGGAUAUUGCGAGUUCUCAAAGUUGCUAACUAUGUUGUUGAGAAGCUUGUUCUUGAGAAACCAUUGGAUGGAAGUCCGGACAGCACAUUUGCCAUGGGUUUGACCUCUGGCACAUCAGCCCUAGAUAGUUCUUCACGGCCUGGAUUAAAGCCAUGGCAAAAACUGAAACCUUCUGUUGAGAUAUUGUGCAACAACCAGCAGGUUCUGUCACCUGAGAUGAGUUUGGCGACUGUGAGGACAUAUAUUUGGAAGAAGCCGGAGGAUUUGAUUCUUAAUUACAGAGUGGUCCAAUCAAGAUGA